AUUAUUGUUUAGAGUAAGUUGGAAAUAUAUUCACUUUUCAAAAUAUAAUUGUGAACGUAGUAACUUCACUAUUCAAUAUUAGAGAAAGAGGUCAUUUUGCUUUUUGUGUAAUAGGCGGAUAUCUAAUAGCAGUUCGUGUGGGGCAGGGAAUAAUUUUUGGAAAUUACCAGAGAGGGCUUUUAGAUUCAAUAUCUCUAUCUCUAUUUCUUUAUUAUAUAU
rnacentral:sRNA from 1 species